ensembl:snoRNA
UAUCACUGUCCUGGGUAGAGUGUCAUCUACCUGGCAGUGUCCAUUUCAUAUUAGCCAGGGACAAAGCAAUUCCUUUUUUCUCCCAACUUGGCUUUUGGUCUGUGCCCAUGCUUGGUUCAUGCCUUGGAUAUAUGG